AUUGAACGCUGGCGGCAUGCCUUACACAUGCAAGUCGAACGGCAGCACGGGAGCAAUCCUGGUGGCGAGUGGCGAACGGGUGAGUAAUAUAUCGGAACGUGCCCAGUCGUGGGGAUAACGUAGCGAAAGCUACGCUAAUACCGCAUACGAUCUAUGGAUGAAAGCGGGGGGAUCGCAAGACCUCGCGCGAUUGGAGCGGCCGAUAUCAGAUUAGGUAGUUGGUGAGGUAAAGGCUCACCAAGCCGACGAUCUGUAGCUGGUCUGAGAGGACGACAGCCACACUGGGACUGAGACACGGCCCAGACUCCUACGGGAGGCAGCAGUGGGGAAUUUUGGACAAUGGGCGCGAAGCCUGAUCCAGCAAUGCCGCGUGCAGGA
rnacentral:rRNA from 1 species